CUACGAGUUACUCCUCAUUGGCAAGGUUAAGUCUUUAAGGGACGAAUCCGAAGCGAAAGCGAGUCUGAAUAGGGCGAAUUAGUUAGUGGGGGUAGACGCGAAACUUGGUGAUCUACCCAUGAGCAGGUUGAAGUUGCAGUAACAUGUAAUGGAGGACCGAACCAGUAAACGUUGAAAAGUUUUUGGAUGACUUGUGGGUAGGGGUGAAAGGCCAAUCAAACCCGGAAAUAGCUCGUACUCCCCGAAAUGCAUUUAGGUGCAGCGUUCAGGUAGAGUAUUAUAGAGGUAGAGCUACUGAUAGGGCUAGGGGGCUUCACCGCCUACCAAACCCUGACAAACUCCGAAUGCUAUAAUAUAUACUGAGCAGUGAGGGCAUGGGUGCUAAGGUCCAUGUCCGAGAGGGAAAGAACCCAGAUCAUCAGCUAAGGCCCCCAAAUGUAUGUUAAGUUGAUCAAACGUUGUGCGAUUGCAUAGACAGCUAGGAUGUUGGCUUGGAAGCAGCCAUUCAUUUAAAGAGUGCGUAACAGCUCACUAGUCGAGC
rnacentral:rRNA from 1 species